GACGUACUGCGCGAACGUUAUUCGGAAUCACUGGGCUUAAAGGGUGCGCAGGCGGCUGCCCAAGCCCGAAGUGAAAUGCCCCGGCCCAACCGGGGACGUGCUUCGGGGACUGGGCGGCUCGGGCGAGCUAGGGGUCCGUGGAACUCCCGGUGGAGCGGUGAAAUGUGUUGAGAUCGGGAGGAACGCCGGUGGCGAAAGCGACGGACUGGGGCUUUGCCGACGCUCAGGCACGAAAGCCAGGGGAGCGAACGGG
rnacentral:rRNA from 1 species